rnacentral:tRNA from 1 species
GUUGGUAUAGCUCAGUGGUAGAGCACAUGCUUAGCAUACACGAGGUUCUGGGUUCGAUCCCCAUUUCCUCCA